UAUUCACCAUGCAAAAUUUCAUCAAAAAACCACCACGCAGCAUCACACAUCACAAAAGACGAAAUCCCCAAGGUGAACGCCACUUCAACUUCUACACUGAGGAGAAGGCACUCAAGACAGAUAUCCGUUCAGGUGUCUGCAAGUGAUUCCAGACGUUUCAGCACCUGGGCAACAGUGCUGGACAGUGGAUUGCUGAAAGGGAAAACACCCAUUUGGCUACACACUGCAAGGCAACAGCAAACGUCAAUCACAAAUGAAGGUGAAGAUGAAAAAUCCUUUCCACACUACCCUAUCUGACAGUAAGAGCAUGUUCCUGGCUCAUUCAAUCCCCACUCUAGGGACUGGGCAUCUAAUUAAAUUAAUAAUCACCUGUAUCACCCUUUUACCGUAGGGACGUUUACAAACUUUCCUCUACCCCUACACACUGGGGCUGAAUAGUUAAAUCCCUCCACACUGAAAUAUUUAGCCACCUAGUGACAGCCCUUAGCAUCCAAGGACGACUGGACGCAACGGAUUGUCACCUAGCCUACCUGCUGCAUUGGCUGUUUGUGCCCGAGGGCUGUUUGUGAUUCUUUUCCUAUAAAAAACAAAAAAAAGACAUGCCUAUAAAACUUUGGAAAAUAAAAAAAAAUCAUUAAAUGUCAUUAAACAGAGUGAUUGAGAGAUGGUGGGAGUUUAUCUUUGUUCGUCGCCCUUCUGAAAUUUCGAAUGCGUGUUAAAACCAAGGUUAAAACAGACCACGGUACCAUGAUAACAGUAAAAUAAUUAUUCUUAAUAUUAUCAUCGUCAUUAUGAACUAAGAUGGUGCACACUUAAACCUAUUUAUUGUGACCCAAAUAAGAACCUUUCAAUAGUAUCCUAUAAGUAUCCAACAAGUUGAAUGAAAAAUUUGAUAAUUUAGAUUUCCAGAAUAUCAUCUUAAAAUGUCACACCAUAUAAUUAUUAAUCCAAUAUUUUCGACAGAAAAAAAACAGUAUAGCCUACACAUUUAAAACCAAUCAUCAAUUAGGAUCAUCACAAUGUGUUGGUUCUCAACUAUUUAAUACAAUGAAAAUAUAUAUGUA